AACUGUUAUAUUCUUCUAGUAUUUUCCUUUUAAGUUCGAUGUUAACUUAUUGAAUCGUAAUAUUUAAGUUUUUAUAAAUUUAAUUUCUGACAUGCAAACUUGAAUAUUUCUUUAUGAAUAUCUAGAUAAGCAUCGGUAUAUUUGCUAAGUGAAACACUUUUUAAAUAAAUAUUAGCUCGAUCGUAACAAAAUUACGUAGAAUCACGCUCUACGAUGUUUACAUAUUGUAUAAAGGGAAUAAUUGUGUUAUCUAAGAUCUUAGAUACGAAGCAUAUUUGUUUUUCUUUCUUUUUCCUUCGAAAUUUUAAUUCAUUUCAUUUUCUUUUGUAUAUUAAACGUUAGAUCGGUCUAGGUAGACAUAUUUGAAGUUUCUCGUCAUUUUGUCAAUACAAUUGUUUUAUCUUGGAACUCGGCCAAUCCAUCAACAAGCUAGACGAAAAAAGAUAAAAAUUUUUAUCCCCGGGAUAUUUUCGAAUAAAUUGCUUCUUUAUUAUCUAUGAACGCAUGCGCAUAAUCAUGACGCGGGUAGCUUGAAUAAAAUUGAACAUUCAUUUCCUUCGAAGGAUUUCAUACGAAGAAGGUGAAUAAUAUUAUGUAACUUAAUGCGCACACGCGUCAUCUCUUGUUCAGAAUAGUAUUACGCAUUUCUUUCUUUAUGCAUUCUAUAUACUUUCAGAAAAUAAUGUUUACUGUGUAUUAUAUCCAUCAUCGACAAUUAAACAUUUGAAUUUAGAAUUAUUUACAUAUUUCUUAUUAUCGAUUUGUUAUAAUCGAUUUUUCUAAUCGAUUAUUAUUUUUCCGCAUGAACGAUUCUUUCAAACGAUCUAAAAAAUUAGCUUUUUUAUCAUUCUUUUUUUAUUGAACGUACUAUCUGUCAUUUUUAGAUGUUUCGAUGAACACGAUUAUCUUUGAAAUAAAAAUGCAUUCUUACCUUUUGAUAACUGUCAAUUAAUAGCGGUUAUAGCAAUGGUUGAAUAGGUUCUGCGUACCGUUGCAUGUAAAUUAUCAUGUCUGGUGCUUUAUAGAAGAUAACUCUCAGCAUGUAUACCGUACGAUGCAAAAUUAUGAUUUUUUAUUCAUGAUAAAGUUAGCACAUUGAUUUCACUACGUCAUCGUGACGUGGAUAAAAAUAAUUUAGCAAAUAGUUCAUUAGCAUUUUUUUUUUCUUUUUUUUUUUAUAUCUAAUUCAGAAUUAUUCUCGACGUAAUAUUUCAUUUAUCAUGCGACCUUGAAAUUAUGAUCUAAAUGACGAAGUAUUUUCGCAUAAGAUUAUUUGUAAGACAUAAGCAAUCUUAUCUGAUUUUCAAAUAUUGAAAGUAUUAAGAAGUUACAAUUAUUAAACUAUGUACCGUUAAAGAGAUAUCAAAUCGUCGAUAUAAUUUAACUGUAAUAUUCUCUGAGAGAAGUAUGAUGAACGACCAUGGGUGGAGGAGAUUCGAGCGGUUUACACCGUGAUGUUGAACCUGCAACAGCAUAACCGUGUAACGGUAAUCUUCUUACGGAACGAAGAUAUCUUUCUUAUCUCGUUUCAACGUCAUUAUAUCACCAAACUUCGAUGGACACUAAGCUAUGAGAGAUCUAUUGUUUUAAUUAUUCUCAGCUUAUAAGAACUUAUGAGAGCCUAUUGUUUAAAAUUAAACUUAACCAUUUGAAUGGUUAAUGGUUAAGUCACGCAGAAUGAUCGUGCUGUUUACAUUUUAUGUUGAAAAGUGCCGAAGCAAGUGCCGGAGCAUUGAUGCAAUUGAUGGUGCACUAAAGUUUAUCGACAUAUAUUGAAACAAGUGCCUCUUUAACAUUUUUCAUCGGUAUUCAUCGAUAUGAAUUAAAACGAAACGUUGUUACUUUUCAAUAAAAUGAUUUCAAAGAUCCUUCAAGAGUUAA